rnacentral:rRNA from 1 species
UACGGAGGGGGCUAGCGUUGUUCGGAAUUACUGGGCGUAAACCGCACGUAGGCGGCUUUGUAAGUUAGAGGUGAAAGCCCGGGGCUCAACUCCGGAAUUGCCUUUAAGACUGCAUCGCUCGAAUUGUGGAGAGGUAAGUGGAAUUCCGAGUGUAGAGGUGAAAUUCGUAGAUAUUCGGAAGAACACCAGUGGCGAAGGCGACUUACUGGACACAUAUUGACGCUGAGGUGCGAAAGCGUGGGGAGCAAACAGG